rnacentral:rRNA from 1 species
AUGGAUGAGAAGGAGAAAACGUGGAGGCUGCUAAGAAAUUUGAAACACCAAAAUUCUAAGCCAUGGAUCUGCGCGGGGGACUUUAAUGAAAUCCUUCAUGGAUGGGAGAAGGAGGGUGGAGCUCCUAGAAGCCAGAGGUAUAUGGACCGUUUGAAGGCUGCAUUGGAGGAUUGUGAGCUGGGGGAUAUGGGGUUCACGAGUGAUGUCUUCACUUGGAGAAACAAUAGUCAUACAGCCAAAGAUUACAUAAAGGAGAGAUUAGAUAGGGAUGUGGCUACCCAAUCAUGGUGCCAACGGUUCACAGCCUACCGGGUAAACAACGGCGAUCCUCGACACUCACACCAUAGGCCUAUGAUUAUUGAUACAACAGGGGCAGCAGCUGUGAGAAGAGGGUCGGGUCAGCUUUGCUCUCGAAGAUUUGAAGCAGGCUGGGUCGAGGAGGAGGGGUUCCGGGAGAUUGUGCUGAAUACAUGGGAGGGGAAGAAGUGUAGAGGGCAAGGAGGUGGCAGGCGCAGUGAAGGGAGUGAUGAAGGAGCUUUUUGA